rnacentral:rRNA from 1 species
UACGUAGGGGGCAAGCGUUGUCCGGAAUCAUUGGGCGUAAAGCGCGUGUAGGCGGCCCGGUAAGUCGGGUGUGAAAUCUCGGAGCUUAACUCCGAAACUGCAUUCGAUACUGCCGUGCUUGAGGACUGGAGAGGAGACUGGAAUUUACGGUGUAGCGGUGAAAUGCGUAGAUAUCGUAAGGAAGACCAGUGGCGAAGGCGGGUCUCUGGACAGUUCCUGACGCUGAGGCACGAAGGCCAGGGGAGCAAACGGG